UCGGAAGUCGAGCGUGGAGGCUGAGUGGCUGCUUGCGCCGAGGGGAGCGCCGACUCCGUUUCCCGCGCGUCCGCGGGAGGCCUGGGGAACAGCGGGACGUCGGGGCCCCGGGAAGGGAGCGGAAGUCAGCGCCGAAGCCGCGGAAGGAAAGGAGGCUGGCGGACGCCCCGCAGCCCGGGUUCAGUUGUGCUCCUGCCUCUGAAACGCGGGCGUGAGACUGGAGUGUGGCCGUGCAGCGCUUUCUGUAGAAAGCAGUGGCCUGGAGCGCACCUCGCUUCUGGUGCUCACCUCGCUUCUGGUGCUCAGGUCUGAAAGGAGGGAGCUUCAUGGUCCGGGGUUCAGUGUGACUCCUCCGAUUCCCCCAGCCAACCCCUUCAAGGGGCUCCCGGUUCUGAAAGGACACAGGACUUGAAAGAUACUUGAUGGUGCCAGAAAGGGAAGAAUGUUUGUUUAAGUUGAAGUGAAGACCUUCCUUUUCCUCAGUGGAGCCUCCCAAAUACAAAAGUUUUAGUGAACAGAAGAGUCAGCUGGAGGACUGCUAUUUAAAAGAAGAAAGAAAGAGAAAGAAGCAAACAAACCAAAAAAAGAAGAUUUGUGACCCUUGCCUCUUGAAAUUUUGACUUUGAAUGGGUAGCUGAGACAGAUUCUGCAGGGAAACUUGUUAGCACCUGGUAACUGGUGGCCAGUGGGAGAAGAGGACGUGUCAAAGGCAACUUCGUGGAUGGGCAUCUGAGAACACGAUAGCAUUGCUGUCAGAGAUAAGAAUGUCACGAGGGAGAAGGGAGCUGGUUCUGCAGAAAGUUAUGGGCUCAGCUUUGAACACUGAGUUUGAGGUGAAAGAGAGACAUUCCAGAGGAACUUACAGUGCUUGAAGAUACAGAACUGGGACUCAGGUGACAGGAGAUGGGAGACUUGUUCGUGUUUGAAGAAUGGACAGAGGCCUGUGAAGAUGGUUAUUACAAGAUACUGAAUACAGUUCCCUGUGCUACAUGGUAGGACCUUGUUGUUUAUUCCAAGCUUCUAAUCAUGGCUUGGUCUUUCUAAUGACCAGCUCCCAUCCAGAAGUCCACCCAAAGUCACCUCAUUGGAACAGAAGAUACUCCUAUCAUCCAGGAAAUUCCAAGGGAUUUAGGAGCUCUGUGUCAAGAUCCAGGGUCAAAGACCAAAUAUUUGAACAAAAGACGUACCUAGUGUUCUUAUCACUUAGGAAAUCACAAGAGUUUUAGGAGCUCUGUGCCAGGAACAGGGGUGGGGGCUGCUGGAGGGAUGGAAGUGGGAGGCGGAGAGCAGGAUAUGUAUUUCAUUAUUUCACAAGUUCCCAAAUCCCUGCCUUGCAUUUGCUUCUCUUUUUAGAUAUGGGUUCAAGUUUACAACAGUUUGUUGGAUAUCUCCUGAAUACCCUGUUAGCCCCUCCAACUCAACACAUCUAAAACCAGACUCAAGAUUGUCCAUCCCAUAUCCAUUCCCAUUUUUUAUAUUCCUUAUUCCAGCUCAUCUUUCCAGUUACUAAAGCUGGAAAACUUAGUCAUAUGUGAAUCAUCCUCUCUCUUCCCUCCACAGCUCAGUCAGUCAGCUGUCUGGGCAUGCUUAUUUUACUUCCUCUGCCAUGGACUCAUUUAUUAAUUUAUUCUUUUUGUUUGCUUAAAAUAAUAAUCAUGAAAAUAUUUCAGGCAAACAAGGUAGUAAUAGAGAACAGUAUCAUAAUGAGAAUAUACUCAGCCUAGUUUAAGUAAACUUGCAAAUACAAAGCCCUGAGGAAAUCCAUUCAGAUCCCAUCCUACUCUCCAUACCAAAGGAAAUCACCAUGUAAAAUUUAGCAUGUAUCAUUCCCAUGCAAGAUUUGUUGUUUUACUCCACAUGUAUGUAGCCACAUAUAGGAUAUAAGUUGGCAUGUUUUUAAACUUUAUAUAAACUAUGGUAUAAUGUUUAUCCUGCUAUAACUUUUUUCAAUCAUUAUUUUUGAGAUUUAUCCAUGAUGAAUCAUCUCUUUUAUUUUAAAUGUUAUUUAAUGAAAAUACCACAAUUUAUUAACCAUUGUGCAUUAUACUGUAUAUAAUGUGUGUGCAUAUAUAGACACACAUUUGUAUAUAUAAUAAAUAUAUGUAUAUGUGUGUACAGUUGCUUUUAUUAUUUUACUCCACCUCUUGAGUUGAAAUGGAGGUAUGACAUGGUGCAGCUUAUUUACUUAUUUUCCAACUGGAAAAAUUCUAUUCCUCAAGGCAGGUAAAAACUGUUUUCAAUAGUUUCUACAGUUCUAUCCAACUUUCUCUCUGCCACUUCAUUCUUUAGUUUUUCCCAUUUCUCUUACCUCCUCUAAGUAGGCUUGCGUAUAGUUAGCUCUUUUGAGAAUAGUUGAUAGAUGUCUGGUUUAUAGGACUAAAGCAUAGAAAAAAAAUUCCAUUAUAAGAAAGAGAUUUAAUCAUGAAAUAAAGUAUGAAUACACUUCAGGCUGAAGGUUAUUAUUGCUCAUCAUUUAAAGACACUAUACCUUAAUGGCAUCAAGUUAUUUAUUUUUAAGAAAAGUAUUACUGAAGUAUAUUUCUAAGUAUUAUUUAUAAGUAAAGCUACUUAUAAGUUUGCUAAUUUACAGCCAAGAAAAUUUCUGGCAUUCUGUAUUAUUCUAAGAAAGAUAAUUAACAAGAUACUUUCUAGCAUUCUAUAUUCUUCUAAGAUUAUUAACAAGGUAGAAAUGCGUAAUCCAUUUUUUCUCAGAAAAUUGCAACAACUCAGAAGUAAGUCAGAGGACUAAGCUUACUGGACUGACAUGAAGAUGACUUCAGAAGUGUACCGGAUACUUUGAAAAUUUAGAAUAGCCUGGAUAAAGAGAACAGGAUUCCUUGAAUUAUAAAAACAUCAGUCCUUUUAUACCAUGGUGAUAUCAUUGGUGUGGAGCUUGAAAGAAAAUGAGGUCUAACUCAUUUGGGAAAGGUGAUCUUGAAAGAGGUGUGAACUAAUAUAAGGUCAAAGAAAUUUUAUCAUACAACAUUUAUUGAUUACUUCUAAUUUUUUAAACUCAUCAUUCAUUUUUCCACAAGAUAAUUGUCUUGACAAUCUUUCUGCUUAAUUAAAUAUUCACAUGUUCGUUAUUGAUUAGAACAUUCAAAAUAAAUAACCCCAACACAAGCAGCUCGUAUUCUAAGAAGACUUGCUUUAAAAAUAGUCUUCCUUAUAGAUACAUAUUUUAUCCAUGUUAUUGUGUUUCCUUUCUCUUUAUUUUUUACAUAAUGGUUAGGUGAAUCUUUUAAACUGAUCAUUCAAGACUUGAUAUGCUGAUUGGUGAGACUGAUAUGUGGGUUUGAAGCCUGAUUCUGCCAUUUAUUUGAAAAUGACAGUGUGCAAGUCUCAUAACCUUGCUAGCCUCAGUUUCCUCAUCCAUAAAAGGAUGAACCUAUGAUACCUCCUAGGGCUGUGAGGAUUAAAGGUGCAAAUGAGUUGGCACAUAGCAAAAGCUCAAAGAUGUUACUUCUCCCCUUUGAUAGAUUAAGUAAAAGUAAGACAAGAGACGUGGCUUUUGAGGUAUAUUUUUGAGAGCAGGGAAGAUAUGAAACACGAAGGGGGUUAAGUAUACCUAGUCAAUGUCAACUAAAAUGCUUCUGAAAUAUGACAGUGAUUAUGUAAGUAGAACAAGCUUGAAGAGAUUUGAAAUCCAGUGUGCACAGCUUAAAGAGAUUCAGAGGUAGGUAAAAAGGAGGGUCACAGUCAUAGAAACAAAGGUUAUGUUAAAUAGACAAUGAUUUAGGUGGAACUAUACAAAAUUGCCACCUUUUUAGAUAUAAAAUGGUUGAAUAUUGGCAAUUUUAUGUUGUUCACUUAACAUGUUCAGGAGGGAAGAAAGGCAGCGGGGACUGUGAAGGAAAGAGCAAAGCCCCUCAGGUGGGGUGCAGUUAACCAGGGCUGUCACUGGUUUUCCUACCGAAUGGUUAGGCUCUUGCAGCUGUGAAUCAAACAUUAUUUAGUGGCCUCUUCUCUUUGUAGCAAAAAAGGUGAUUGAAGAUGGGUGAAAAAGUUCAUGCCACUGGGUCUAUUGGAAUCUUUGAGGCCCUUUGACAUUUACCACAGUUUCCAAAGGAUUUAAGAGAACUUACAAAACAUACAAAAUAACAAAUACAAAAACAAAGGAAAUUGAGAAAAAGGGAAAAUAAAGUGACAUCCAGAUCUCCUGCUGUGAUGUAAACAGUGGUCAGCAUAGAGCUUCCUCAAAUCAUGUUUGGAAAGGAGAAAGUAUAAAUAAUACCCAGCAGAGUGCUUCCCUUCCUGAUACACAACUGCAAUUUCUGGGUUCCUAUGUAAUGUAGCAGUAGGCGCCAUUGAGAGGCUGUCUUCUACCAAGAAAACAAGUAUCUUUUAAUUAAAAUAAACUAUGUCAAGAUUUGACUACAGUACUGGAAUAGCUAAGAAAAGGUGUUCUUUCCAGAGACUAUCUUCAUCUCCAGCCUUAAGACAUUCCAUGAUAAUAACUCUUUUCAGUGCGGUCUGAGCGGGUCCUCUGAAUCUAAUUAUGCAGUAGUGAUACUUUUGGUAUAUGCAUCUCUUAAAAGCACUGCAUUAAAAGCAGAGUAGUUAGAUCUGUUAGGUUACUUUUUCCUUUCAAAAGAUUAGAUGACUUGUUUUUGCAUCUUUUCAGAAUGGACUGUGGACCAACAAAGUUUCAAUAUGAUUUUUUCAUUUCAUUUUUCAGUUGGUAUCAAUGAGGAAUUGAAUUCCUGUGGCCAAGAACUUUGCUCUCUCUGGGUUGCUGGACUAAGACUUUGUACAAGGGGCAUGGAUAUAUUAUGCUUAGACCCAUAAAACACAUCCCCACUCCUAGAAAAACACCUAAAAAUAUCAGAAAUAUCUCUUCUAGGGAAAGAGCUAUCCUCACUCCAAUACAUCCAUGUAAGUAGAGUGACAAUACUGUGACUUCCCUUCCUUGCUCCCACUCCACUUGUUUUCAUUUGUCCUUCCCUUCAAGUCUCCUAUCCCUCUGUUUCUUUUUUUUCCCUCCAAAAAUCAGCUUCUUCUGUGACACUUCAGCUUUCCUUUAGAAUUUCAGGGUAAAAUAGUACAGGCUUUAUACUAUUUAUGUUUUUUUUAAUUUUAUUUUUUAUUGAAGUGCAGUUG